rnacentral:rRNA from 1 species
GUGGGGAAUAUUGGACAAUGGGCGAAAGCCUGAUCCAGCCAUGCCGCGUGUGUGAAGAAGGUCUUCGGAUUGUAAAGCACUUUAAGUUGGGAGGAAGGGCAGUAAGUUAAUACCUUGCUGUUUUGACGUUACCGACAGAAUAAGCACCGGCUAACUUCGUGCCAGCAGCCGCGGUAAUACGAAGGGUGCAAGCGUUAAUCGGAAUUACUGGGCGUAAAGCGCGCGUAGGUGGUUUUGUAAGUUGGAGGUGAAAUCCCCGGGCUCAACCUGGGAACUGCCUCCAAAACUGCAUGACUGGAGUACGGUAGAGGGUAGUGGAAUUUCCUGUGUAGCGGUGAAAUGCGUAGAUAUAGGAAGGAACACCAGUGGCGAAGGCGACUACCUGGACUGAUACUGACACUGAGGUGCGAAAGCGUGGGGAGCAAACAGGAUUAGAUACCCGGGUAGUCC